UUCCGGUAGGGGGUACCUGCGGAGGGAUCAUUACACAAUAUGAAAGCGGGUUGGGACCUCACCUCGGUGAGGGCUCCAGCUUGUCUGAAUUAUUCACCCAUGUCUUUUGCGCACUUCUUGUUUCCUGGGCGGGUUCGCCCGCCACCAGGACCAAACCAUAAACCUUUUUGUAAUUGCAAUCAGCGUCAGUAAACAAUGUAAUUAUUACAACUUUCAACAACGGAUCUCUUGGUUCUGGCAUCGAUGAAGAACGCAGCGAAAUGCGAUACGUAGUGUGAAUUGCAGAAUUCAGUGAAUCAUCGAAUCUUUGAACGCACAUUGCGCCCUUUGGUAUUCCAAAGGGCAUGCCUGUUCGAGCGUCAUUUGUACCCUCAAGCUUUGCUUGGUGUUGGGCGUCUUUGUCUCUCACGAGACUCGCCUUAAAAUGAUUGGCAGCCGACCUACUGGUUUCGGAGCGCAGCACAAUUCUUGCACUUUGAAUCAGCCUUGGUUGAGCAUCCAUCAAGACCACAUUUUUUUCAACUUUUGACCUCGGAUCAGGUAGGGAUACCCGCUGAACUUAAGCAUAUCAAAAGCCGGAGGAA
rnacentral:rRNA from 1 species